rnacentral:lncRNA from 1 species
CAGGAACCCGCCACCAUGCCCAGCUAACUUUUGUAUUUUUUUUUUUAAGUAGAGACAGGGUUUCCAUGUUGGCCAAGCUGGUCUUGAACUCCUGAUCUCAAGUGAUCCACCCAUCUCGGCUUCCCGAAGUGCUGGAAUUACAGGUGUAAGCCACCACACUCGGCCAUGAGUUGGGCUUUGAAGGAUGAAUAAGAGUUUGACAGGCUGAGAAACAAAAAGAAGGCAGAGGGGCAAACGGCCAGUUUGAGAUUCUCUUCUACUCUGCUUCAGAUCCUCAGAUAACCAGAGAUCCUGACACUGGGUCCAAGAAUGAGAGAGACUUGAACACAUGGGAAAAAAUAGUCAAGAUAUAUGCAUUAAACAUAUACUCAAGAGAUGAGCAAUUAAUAGGACAACUUUAAUGGAGAAGGUAAGAGAUGAGAGGAACUUUAGAAAUCAGAUAGAACUCUUCUCAGAGAAUAAAGGAAGGCUCAAGAUACAAAGAAAAUUUGAGAUAGAAAAAAGCAAAGAUAAGGAAGCAGCCCCACCUGCCUUCACUUCCCAGAGAAGGAAGAAUCCUCUUGUUGGCCUGCCCGGGGCAGGCUGAAGAUAAUGAAGCAGUUUUGGAACUGUGGCCUGAGCAAAAUGCUACAUGCAGUUAUCAAGACAUAGGCUAUGGUAUUACCCAACGGUAAGAGCCCAGCUACAGUUAGUGUGAAUGUGUUAGCAGCCUCAGUUCACACAACUGCAAGACUUGCUUCAGUAAAGCUUAGCAAUUUGGGAGCUGAAGCAGAGUCCAGUGGAGAUCUCCAGGAGUAGAGGGAUAAAAGAUCCCAACGUGGUGGCAAGUACAGUGUUGAAAGAGCUUAGUCAAGGGUCAGACUGUGUAGGCAGCAAACGAGCAAGAGGCUGAUCAUUAGAGAAUCUGGGGCAUUGAUGAUGAGAGUGAGAUAAAAGCACAAACGGAGGAAAAAUGGAAAGCUGUCUCAGAGGAGGAAGUGUCUGCUCUCAAACUCUAAGAGGACAAAGUCAUGGUGAAGGUCAAGAUACCAAUGUGCCAAAGGGUGGCUCCCGCUCUGAAAAAGCAGUUCAAGGUCACUCACAAAUGAAGAAGCAUUUAGCAAGCUCCUACUCACCAUGCAGGCAAGGCCCACGGCUCCCAAAGGGCCAUUGCCACCUAGGCUUCUAAUUGCUAGGGCAGUUUGUUCCCACAAAACCCAGUAGUAGGAAAGUAGACAUUAAAGUUCAUCCUAGCAUGAGACGAAAAGUGGAAAGGAAAUUCUUAAACAAGUUAUAUAUACAGUGUGAUCACAACUAUCAGGAAAAUACUUCAUAGAAAGAAAGAAUGAAAUGGGGGAAUGGGAAAAAUCACUACAUAACUAAUGAUUUUGGUUUUCAGGGGAAUGCAACAAUGGAUGAAUGGAUGAUUUGAUGGUUUUUCUUCCUUUCUUUUCUUUUUCUUUUUUUCUUUUUACAUUUCUGCAGCAAGGGUAUUGUCAUUUCAAGGAGAGCUCAAAGCUUUUGGAGUCAGGCAGACCAUUUAUAAUCACUACCAGUUAUGGACCACCCACCAAGAGCCAGGCAUUGAGCUCAGUGCUUUACAUAUAUUACUUCUAAUCUUUACAACAAUCCUUGUAGUAACUAUUAUUCUCAUUUUGGAUGUGAAAGUGAAACUCAAAAAUAAUAAGGAACUUUGCCAAGUCCAAAACCCAUCUGUAUUCUGUCCACUUUAGCUGACAGCUACUUUGAUUGUAUCUCUGACUCUUACUUAUUAAAUGUUGGGCCUUGAGUGAAAUAACCUCCCUGAGGCUCAGUUUCUCCAACUGUAAACUGGAGAUUUUAAAAACAAAAAUAAAUAAAUAAACCAUAGGAAAAUGAAUUUGCCAUCAUCUCCAAAUUUGUAUCAGAAUCACCAAGGUAAGAGGGAAUUAAAUCAGCUCCUAGGAGUGAACUGCAGAGAAAGGGGCUUUUCAGAGCCCUAGAAAAUGAGGCUUGUUCUAUAGCCUUGGUUAUGCUGUUCGGCUCACAAACCAAGUGAGUCCAAUGUUUGUAAACAUUCUCUUUCC